rnacentral:rRNA from 1 species
UACAGAGGGUGCGAGCGUUAAUCGGAAUUACUGGGCGUAAAGCGUGCGUAGACGGUUAUUUAAGUCGGAUGUGAAAGCCCCGGGCUCAACCUGGGAAUUGCAUUCGAGACUGAAUAGCUAGGGUGCGGUAGAGGGAAGCGGAAUUUCCGGUGUAGCGGUGAAAUGCGUAGAUAUCGGAAGGAACAUCAGUGGCGAAAGCGACGGGCUGGCCCUCCACUGACGCUGAGGCGCGAAAGCCAGGGGAGCGAACGGG